AAUGUAUCUGAGAAUGUAAACCCUGGGCAGUUCUGACUUGCAAAUUCUCUAAAUUUCAAUGAACAGUAGCUGCAGGACUAUUUUAUUUCAUGAUGCAGCACUCAUUUAUCAGUGAUUAUCUUGAACUUUAUCCCUUUUAGAUUUUAUAGAGUUAACAGUUGAUGGAAUCAGGAUUGUACAGUGUAGGCAGUAUUGCUGGAACUCGUGUAAUGAUUAGCUUAACAACAUACCCUUAAAGUGAACAGCAGAAAUCUGCUACAAAAUUUAUUCCUUCUUUUCAUGCAUCUGUGAGAGGAAAAAGUAAGAAGAAGUACAGAAUAAUUUUGUGAAACGAGGUUUAGAAUUUAUGCUGUACUUUCUCUGUGUAAUUUCUGAGAAGGCAACAUGAAAAUGUCUCUUGAAACUGAGGGGUGGAUUCACGCUUUCUAACUUAGGUUACUGAAGCUUCAGGUACUCAGCCUAAGUGAGGAGGCAGCCUCUCCUCUCAGACUAAAUAUAGGCUCAAUUUAGAGAGAGACAGGCUGCUGUAGAGGGUAAUUUAAAGCAGAAAUACAGUUUUCAGUGCUCUGAGGUCGCAUACUGAAUUUCGAUUCUCUCAUGGUGCUCCUCCUGUAUAUUUGGGCUCUGGAGUGAAACUGGCAGAUCUUCAAUGUGACAAAACCACUACCUCUCCACUGUGUGCACAGGGAGCUUAGGAAAACCAGGCUUGGAUAUAAACUCCAGGCAGACCAUGUUGCCACGUCAUCUUUUUUUGCAAGGAAGUAAUGAAUGGCACUGGGAUAGGUGUGGUGACACACGAAUUAACUCGAUAUAUCUGUAAGAGACUAUUCUUUUAUAUCAUUGACUCAAAGUUUGCUGAGGAACAAGUCCAGGCAAGUCCUGGGCAAAGGCAGAGAAAUCUUUUGUCUUGAGGACACUGAUGGACAGGUCCUGGCUAAGGAUUGUGAAAUCCUUUAAGGAGCACAGAUGGACAAGGCCAGGGGCAUCGAGAGAGAGAUAAGCUGCCGCUAAUGGCCGGGAAACGGUCUUUUUGUGUGGACUUAUCUCAAGGAAAAUGGCCAUCUCAG
ensembl:lncRNA